AUGCAAACUCCCGCUCCGCAGUCACGCAGGAAGGAGAAACUUUCUUCGUCCAGGCUCGCCUCCUUUGGUUUUUUUUACGCCGCAAAAAUCUCCGGAAUCUCUGACCCGAGUGACGUCACUGUGCCUGAACUACACAGUUUUGGAAUGAAUCCACAGCCAAUCUCAGUCCACCAGAGCACCUUUGGGAUGUGCUGGAACAGGAGUUUCGCAUCCUGAUGUGCAGUCAACAAAUGGAACCAAAAUCUCUGGGGAAUGUUUCCAGCAACUUGUUGAAUUCAUGCACAACAACAAAAAAAAAAAAAAAAAAAAAAAAAGUUUAAUCUGAGGGCGAAAGCAAGGCUGAGUCCAACCCAGCCUUGCUUUUCUGGUGUCUGAUAAGUGUAUUUCCUGCAUGGAUUUCAUGGGGUAUGUCAAAGUUGAUCUUAAGUGGGCCAGACCAAAUUGAAUUCUAUUUUCUGUCAGCACAAAGAAGUUUAACCACACAUUAAAUCCUUAAGAUAUCAUUGUAUUAAAAAAAACCCCCAAAAAACCCAAGUAUAAUUCCAACAGUACGUCUCAUUUUUUCUACAUGAUAAAGAAAUGUUACUGUAACAAAGAUAGAAAUCUGUCAGAAUGACUCUCAGGGCUUAAACUGUAAGAAAUAAAUAUGUAAUAAAUAUAUUUAUGUAAUAAAUAAAAUUUCCUACUGAAAAAUGAUGGUAGCUUAUUGGCCAGGCUGUCCUACAAUACUAAAAUAAGGUUUUUGUUUAUUUUAUUUUUUUAAACUGUUGAGCCAAAAAGUUCUCAUAUUCUCUUAAUUUAAUGUUCAUCUAUUACUUCAUUACCUUAGGAUAGCAUGAAUGGCAUGGAGGAAAAGCUGUAAAACCUAUGAAAAUACACUGAGAAGCACAAAAUCCAUGUUCCCCUUCACAUUUUUCAGUGGGCCAGAUCGUCUUAAGCAGGCCGAUUUUGACCCCAGAGCUUUCUGUUUGACAAAAAUAACAUAACUUUUAAAAAGCCUUUUUUGAAACUUUCCUUUGAAGCUCACAUAUUUAGUACACAGUUAACCUUCAAGGACACCGCAGAUUCAACAAACUGCAAACUAUUCAUCCCGAUAAUUGCUGUCAUCAGAAGAAUCUGAGGUACGAGAGUGAGAGUACAGAAACAACAGUGCAUUUAAGAAAUCACAACUGCUUUAUUUAUUUUCUCUCAAUAAGCUCUUUUUCUUUAACAAGGGAGAGUAAUGACCAAAUACCUGAAAGGAUAAAGGUCAGAGAGGAUAAAUAGAAUGCUGGAUCAGCUGUAGAAAGCACUGGUCCUCUGUGAAAAAACUGAAAUAUGCAUCUUAAAAGUAAAAAAAAACCCAAAAAAACCUCAAAAUGGGCAACAUUGCGGUGCAGGUACAAUGAUGAGAAGCGCCAAGAUCCUUCCCAGAAAGGGGUAAGAGGCCAAAAAAAAACAAAAACAAAACAAAAAAAAAACCCCACACUCCAAGCCCGAUAAACCUAACAGGUGAAAGCAGUCCGUUCUGAGAACACGGUGACCUUUUUUUUUUCUUUUUUUUUUUUUUAACAUCGAAUCCUUUAUAGUGCCACAAUAUCUAAAAUGAAAUGUAAGUUUAAGCCUCCCUUUGCUCACAAGGCUCAACUGUACAGUUAAGUAUGCGUAUACACAUAUAGCAGUGAAACACUGUCGUAAAGAUAAACAUUUGUAGUGUCAUGGAGCAUUAUAGUAAGUAGUAACAGUUAUGGCAGGGGCGUCGUGAGUUUCAAAGUGAGCGCCCGUUACAAAAACAGAAGACGAACAAAAAUAAAUGAUUCCAUCAGCUUCACAUUUUCAAACAGAACACACUUUUUUUGUUUUUUGUUUUUUUAAAGUCCUUCGUAGUCUGCUGGAACUGCUGUGCUUGCACAAAAAAAAACAAAAAAAAAAAAACACUGGGUGGAUUUGAGUUUAACAAGCAAACGCUCCUCGUUCGUGAUAAUAAGCUUCUAACGGAGGAAAAAAAUUAAUUGGACCCUGAUUGUGAUUAUAGUUAGGCUGCAUUUAUUGCUAGUGCCACCUCAGAAACCAGAUUUUGAAUUAUCAAAUAGUGAUGAGAUUUUUUUUUUUUUCAAUAACUCCCCUCACUAAUUUUGAAAUGGGAUCUGAACAAUAUGAAAGUCUUUCAGGAGCCCUAAAGAAAAA